GAUGAACGCUGGCGGCGUGCCUAAUACAUGCAAGUCGAGCGAACAGACGAGGAGCUUGCUCCUCUGACGUUAGCGGCGGACGGGUGAGUAACACGUGGAUAACCUACCUAUAAGACUGGGAUAACUUCGGGAAACCGGAGCUAAUACCGGAUAAUAUAUUGAACCGCAUGGUUCAAUAGUGAAAGACGGUUUUGCUGUCACUUAUAGAUGGAUCCGCGCCGCAUUAGCUAGUUGGUAAGGUAACGGCUUACCAAGGCAACGAUGCGUAGCCGACCUGAGAGGGUGGUCGGCCACACUGGAACUGAGACACGGUCCAGACUCCUACGGGAGGCAGCAGUAGGGAAUCUUCCGCAAUGGGCGAAAGCCUGACGGAGCAACGCCGCGUGAGUGAGGAAGGUCUUCGGAUCGUAAAACUCUGUUAUUAGGGAAGAACAAAUGUGUAAGUAACUAUGCACGUCUUGACGGUACCUAAUCAGAAAGCCACGGCUAACUACGUGC
rnacentral:rRNA from 1 species